GCUUGUGUGACCAGAAUUAGGUAAUGGCCUCUCUUGAUAAGGGAGCAUGGGAGUUAAAUCCCUUUGUAGGUUCAAGUCCUACCGCAAGCACCA
rnacentral:tRNA from 1 species